UUGGCUGAACUUGGGAUAAAUUAUGAAAAGAAAAUACAGUUGAAUUGCUGAAAAUUCUUGAGUUUAUAUUGAGAUUUAGCUAAACUUAAAGUAGGGUAAUAUAAUAGAAUAAAAAUAAAAGUUAGAAGGGCUAAAGAAUAAGCAUAAAAGCAAAGCAUGCAUUCUCAUAUUUAUGUAUCAUAUAAGUACUGCAUUAAUAAGUGUGUACCAACUUUAUAG
rnacentral:lncRNA from 1 species